ensembl:lncRNA
UUAUUUUAUUUACUUCUUUUUUUUUUUNUUUUUUUUAAAUUUUUUAUUUAUUUAUUUAUUUUUUUGUGUGUGUGCAAAACGCUUUUAAACAGUGGAAGAAACUGGAGGAGGAGUGGAGGGGUUUCCAAGGCGGGUGUGCCCCACUCGUCCCCUCGCUCGCUCCCAGCAGGGUUUGGAGCAGGAACACUUGGAACAGCAGUUGAAUCCCGGGAUGGCUGCGGACUGGCCUUGGGGCUGCGGGGACAGCUGGGGACAGCUGGGGACACCCCGGGGACAGCUGGGGACACUCUGGGGACACCCCGGGGACAGCUGGGGACACCCCAGGGAUACCCCGGGGACAUCUGGGGACCCUCCAGAGACAGCUGGGGACACUCCAGGGACAGCUGGGGACACCCCGGGGACACCCCAGGGACAGCUGGGGACAGCUGGGGACACCCCGGGGACAGCUGGGGACACUCUGGGGACACCCCGGGGACAGCUGGGGACACCCCGGGGACAUCUGGGGACCCUCCAGAGACAGCUGGGGACACUCUGGGGACACCCCGGGGACAGCUGGGGACACCCCGGGGACAUCUGGGGACCCUCCAGAGACAGCUGGGGACACUCUGGAGACAGCUGGGGACACUCCCGGGACCCUCCGAGGACACUCCCGGGACACCCCGGGGACACUCCCGGGACACCCCGGGGACACCCCGGGACACCCUGGGGACACUCCGGGGCUCAGCCCGGCUUCCCACAGCUCCUUCUCCAUUCACAGCAGCGAUUUCCAGAAAAACCAGGGAUGUGAGCCCAGCCCCGGGGACAGGGCUGGGGACAGCCCUUGGGGACACCAAGGAGGGGCUCUGCACCCCAAAUUCUGCAGGACAAGGGGGACAAAGCCCUGGGGACACACGGAGGGGCUCUGCUCCCCAAAAACCGCAGGACAAGGGGGACAAAGCCCCUGGGGACAGUCCUUGGGGACACAGAGAGGGACUCUGCACCCCAAACACUGCAGGAGAAAGGGGACAAAGCCCCUGGGGACACCAAGGAGGGGCUCCGCUCCCCAAAUACUGCGGGACAAGGGGGACAAAGCCCUGGGGACACCAAGGAGGGGCUCUGCUCCCCAAAUCCUGCAGGACAAGGGGGACAAAGCCCUGGGGACACCAAGGAGGGGCUCUGCUCCCCAAAUCCUGCAGGACAAGGGGGACAAGGGCUGGGGACACCAAGAAGGUGCUUUGCACCCCAAAUUCUGCAGGACAAGGGGGACAAAGCCCCUGGGGACACACGGAGGGGCUCUGCACCCCAAAUUCUGCAGGACAAGGGGGACAAGGGCUGGGGACACCAAGGAGGGGCUCUGCACCCCAAAUCCUGCAGGACAAGGGGGACAAAGCUCCUGGGGACACCAAGGAGGGGCUUUGCACCCCAAAUUCUGCAGGACAAGGGCUGGGGACAGCCCUUAGGGACACCAAGGAGGGGCUCUGCUCCCCAAAUACUGCGGGACAAGGGGGACAAAGCCCUGGGGACACCAAGGAGGGGCUCUGCUCCCCAAACCCCGCGGGCAGUUCCAGUUUCGGGGCGCUGCGUGGGCUCGGAGCCCCCGGGGAAGCUGCGGAGGGAAUCGUGGCUCCGGGGAUCCGAGCAGGAGCCGCUCCCAGCUCCGGAGAGGCCGGGAAUGUCCCCGUGUCCCCGGCAGCGGGGCUGGCAGAGGGUCACGCAGCCCCUCGGCAAAGCGGUGUUUAA